GGACGCUUAGCUCAAUCGGUUAGAGCACUUGGUUUACAUCCAAGGGGUUAGAGGUUCGAGUCCUCUAGCGUCCA
rnacentral:tRNA from 1 species